rnacentral:rRNA from 1 species
UACAUGGGGUGCAAACGUUGCUCGGAAUUAUUGGGCGUAAAAGCGCGCGUAGGCGGUUACUUAAGUCGGAUGUGAAAGCCCUCGGCUUAACUGAGGAAGUGCACCCGAAACUGAGUAGCUAGAGUACGAAAGAGGGUCGCGGAAUUCCCGGUGUAGAGGUGAAAUUCGUAGAUAUCGGGAGGAACACCGGUGGCGAAGGCGGCGACCUGGGUCGAGACUGACGCUGAGGCGCGAAAGCGUGGGAGCAAACAGG